GAUGAACGCUGGCGGCGUGCUUAACACAUGCAAGUCGAACGAAGCACUUUAUUUGAUUUCCUUCGGGACUGAUUAUUUUGUGACUGAGUGGCGGACGGGUGAGUAACGCGUGGGUAACCUGCCUUGUACAGGGGGAUAACAGUUGGAAACGGCUGCUAAUACCGCAUAAGCGCACAGCAUCGCAUGAUGCAGUGUGAAAAACUCCGGUGGUAUAAGAUGGACCCGCGUUGGAUUAGCUAGUUGGUGAGGUAACGGCCCACCAAGGCGACGAUCCAUAGCCGACCUGAGAGGGUGACCGGCCACAUUGGGACUGGGACACGGCCCAAACUCCUACGGGAGGCAGCAGUGGGGAAUAUUGCACAAUGGGCGAAAGCCUGAUGCAGCGACGCCGCGUGAGCGAAGAAGUAUUUCGGUAUGUAAAGCUCUAUCAGCAGGGAAGAUAAUGACGGUACCUGAAGAAGAAGCACCGGCUAAAUACGUG
rnacentral:rRNA from 1 species